GUCGAACGCUGGCGGCGCGCUUAACACAUGCAAGUCGAGCGAAGCGGCGGACGGGUGAGUAACACGUGAGUAACCUGCCUUAGACAUUGGGACAGCCUCGGGAAACCGGGAUUAAUACAAAAUGGUCUAAGAUGGACUCGCGUCCCAUUAGCUAGUUGGUGGGUAACGGGCCACCAAGGAGACGAUGGGUAGCCGGCCUGAGAGGGUGAACGGCCACAUUGGCACUGCGAAGCGGUCCAAACUCUACGGGAGGCAGCAGUGGCGAAUAUUGCACGAUGGCGUGCACUCUGAUGCAGCUACGCCGCGUGAACGAAGAAGGCUUUCGAGUCGUAAAGUUCUUUUAUAUGGGAAGCGGUACCAUAAGAAAAAGCCCCGGCUAACUACGUGCCAGCAGCCGCGGUAAUUC
rnacentral:rRNA from 1 species